rnacentral:lncRNA from 1 species
ACAUGGCACACAUCAUUUAUAACUUCACAGGAUACUUAAGGAUGGGGGAAGAUUAAAGUCAGCCCUCCGAACUUCGUCUCAAAAAUAAAUAAAUAAAUGUAUACAAGACAAUGUACAUAGGUUAUAUGCAUUUUAUAUAGACCUCCAUCUCUACAAAAUAAAAAUUAAAAAUUAGCCAGAUGUGGUAGCACACACCUAUGGUCCCAGCUACACAGGAGAAUGAGAUGAGAAGAUUGCUUGAGCCCAGGAGUUCGAGCUGUGAUCGCACCACUGCAAUACAGCCUGGACAACAGAGCGAGACCCUGUCUGAAAAACAAAAGAAAAGAAGCUCUCAAGAAAGAGGUUCUUGGCUGGGCAUGGUGGCUCAUGCCUAUAAUCUCAGCAUUUUGGGAGACCGAGGCAGGCAGAUUGCUUGAGCCCAGGAGUUCAAGUCCGGCCUGGGAAACAUGGCAAGACCGUGUCUCUAUAAAAAAUACAAAAAUUAGCCAGGUAUAGGCUGGGCGCAGUGGCUCACACUUGUAAUCCCAGCACUUUGGGAGGCCAAGACGGGCGGAUCACAAGGUCAAGAGAUCAAGACCAUCUUGGCCAACAUGGUGAAAUCUCGUCUCUACUAAAUACAAAAAUUAGCUGGGCAUGGUGGCACGCGCCUGUAGUCCCAGCUACUUGGGAAAAUGAGGCAGGAGAAUCGCUUGAACCCAGGAGGCGGAGGU